rfam:Oryza rufipogon genomic scaffold, chr12
AAAAAGUCAAACCCUGAGUUUCCGUGUCCAACUUUGACGGUCCGUCUUAUAUGGAUUUUUUUAUAAUUCGUAUUUUCAUUGUUGUUAGAUGAUAAAACAUGAUUAAUAUUUUAUGCGUGACUUGUCUUUUUAAUUUUAAAUAAACGGUCAAACGUUGGGCACGAAAACCAGGGUUUGUCUUUUU